CAUAGUAUAAGUUAUAAUUUGGACUUUUUAAUUUUUUUCAAGAGACACAAAAGAAGUAGGAAAGAAAUAUAGUGCAUGCUUGGUAUGGAUGAUAUGCAAAUUUGUGGCAGAAAGAAAAUAAAUGAUUAAAAAAUUAAGAUUAUUAGAAAAAGAAUGUUUUGUAUUUUAUUACUCAUUCGAGAGGUGGCUUGUUAGUGCGACAUUCUUUUAUGCAGCUCAUUUGGCUCACUUGUGUUUGGGUCUUGUGGACUGAACGUAACAAUGGUUUUUUCAAUCACAAGGAGAAUUUGAUUGAACAGCAGUUGCAUGAUGUAUUGGUGGAUUAAGGCUGCUAAUGGUAACUCUUGUCGUGUUCGCUUGUAUGUUUGGGCAUCGGUUAGUUCGCUUUUUUGUUAUUAAUGUGUGAGGACUAUGUUGUAAACUAGUUGUUUUAUUUGACACAUUUUACGCUAGAGAAACUUGUACUUCUGUGAAAGUCUUUACAUCGAUGACGAGAGUUGAACUCACGAACCACCAAACAUGUGUUAGCUAUUCUAUUAUUUUUGCAGCAUUAGCUGGCUGGUUGAGUUUGAAUCCUUAAGUAUAUAAUGUGAAAACAAUUUAAGGAAAAGUGUCAAAAGCAUUGGUGGAGACAACUGUGUGUACUAUAGUUUAGAAAUCUGUUGAGACAAUGGCAUUAAAAACCACUGAUUUUCCGUAUAGAGGGCCAUGCUAAAACCCCAUUCCUCACUUCUUUGCGUUGUCUUUACUACUGCCACAAAGUCAGUCAUAGCUUAUAUUAAUGUAUUGUUAAGAUUAGUUGGCACAAAUUGUUGAUGUUUCUUCCAUCUUUCUUCUGUUCUUCCUUUUUCUUGUAUACUUAUUUAAUAUAUGGAAAACAGGCAAGACGUGGUUAAGUUAGGUUGGAUGACUAAAAGUAGGUGAUCUAUUUCUAAUUUUUUUUUAGUAAAGGGAGAGAUAUAGAUCCAUACUUUCCAUGUAGUUGAGAAAUACUUAAAUAUAAAAAUUAUUUAGAGGC
rnacentral:lncRNA from 1 species